rnacentral:rRNA from 1 species
UGGGGAAUAUUGCACAAUGGGCGCAAGCCUGAUGCAGCCAUGCCGCGUGUGUGAAGAAGGCCUUCGGGUUGUAAAGCACUUUCAGCGAGGAGGAAGGUGGUGAGCUUAAUACGCUCAUCAAUUGACGUUACUCGCAGAAGAAGCACCGGCUAACUCCGUGCCAGCAGCCGCGGUAAUACGGAGGGUGCAAGUGUUAAUCGGAAUUACUGGGCGUAAAGCGCACGCAGGCGGUUUGUUAAGUCAGAUGUGAAAUCCCCGGGCUCAACCUGGGAACUGCAUUUGAAACUGGCAAGCUAGAGUCUCGUAGAGGGGGGUAGAAUUCCAGGUGUAGCGGUGAAAUGCGUAGAGAUCUGGAGGAAUACCGGUGGCGAAGGCGGCCCCCUGGACGAAGACUGACGCUCAGGUGCGAAAGCGUGGGGCAGCAAACAGGAUUAGAUACCCUGGUAGUCCACGCUGUAAACGAUGUCGAUUUUGGAGGUUGUGCCCUUGAGGCGUGGCUUCCGGAGCUAACGCGUUAAAUCGACCGCCUGGGGAGUACGGCCGCAAGGUU